rnacentral:misc_RNA from 1 species
GUGGGAUUGAUGUAAAGGUGACUGGAUGUUUAUGUGGCGUAUUGUUAUGUGGUCAUAGUUGGAUGCUGUAAAACAAAAUGUGGAUUCCUUUUACUGGCUGUGGAUAACGCGAGAGUUAUUCACAGCCAGACGAAGCUCAUACCAACACGCCCCUAGAUGACCAGUGAUGAUUUGGAUUAACGACAGUAUACUAGCUGAGCCCUAGAUGUUGCCAGCAUGGUCCUGGAAGGGGCGCGAGAGUGGUACCAUAACUUUGUGAAGAAGGUGGAUGAGAGGUCCAGCUCACAAGUCCUCAUCCAAGUGGUUGUUUUGAAUGCAAUGAAGCCUCGUCGCCUGUCUGCACGGGUUAUUUUGCAGGCCAGUGUUUACACAGUUAUAAUCAUUGUGCUUGCCUUUAUUCUGCUGUACACGUUUCUUCUUACCUAUGUGGACAGACAUUUGAAGAUGACUCAGGCUCAGGCUCAUCUGCCACUAGAGAUUCCUCAGAAAAAUACUCAUAACAAUCAUAGAGUGAAAUUUCAGUCCAAAUCCUCAGGAAACUAUAGACUACAUAAUAUGGAAGAAGGUGGUGGGAAUGAAAAUACUCUUCAUUUCCAUACAGGUAGUAUCUCUCACAGAAAAGUGUUGUGGAAUUCAACAAAUUACUACGAUGUGUUCAGUACCCGUCCACAGUGUCACAGGAACACAUCACUAUUGACAAUCAUCAUCACAUCAUCACCAGAUCACUUGGACCAGAGGAGUCAGAUUCGCCAGACAUGGUGUAAUGCAUCAGCAACCAGACAUCAGAAGGGGGCAUGGCAGUGUGUGUUUCUGAUCGGCCAGACAUCCCUCUCUUACAUUGAUUCUGCAGUAGAAGAAGAGGCUGACAACUUCCAGGACAUUCUCAGGGGAACAUAUGUAGAUUCAUAUCGCAAUUUGACAUUGAAGGUACUUCAUGGACUGAACUGGGUUAGCCAGUUAUGUCCUACACAGUACACACUAAAGACAGAUGAUGACUGUUUUGUUAACACACUGCAGAUGUAUAACUUCCUUCUGCAUAGUAAUACUAUCAAAACAAACCUGUAUGUAGGCAAUGUUUUUCAUAAACUCGAAAAGAGGAAGGUGGUACGGAGCCUAAGCAGCAAGUGGUCCGUUGCCAAGUCUGACUAUGCUCCAGACCAUUAUCCCCCUUAUGCCAGUGGGACAGGGUAUGUGUUCACUCAGGAUGUGGUGGACAAAAUUGUUGUGGAGAGUCAGUACAUCAAAGCCAUUCCUAAUGAGGAUGCUUACAUAGGUAUUGUGGUUAAUUCGUUGGGCGUGAAACCUACAUCAAGCUUCCGUUUUACUCUGUUCAGUGAAGGACUGAGAUUGUGUAACUACCUGUAUGUAUUGGUGGUGCACCGUGUGCAGCCAGAGCAGCAGCACAUGUUGCAUGCUGGCAUGAUGCAGGCCCCACAGGCAUGUCGGGGGGACACCGGGGAUCUUCACUCAUGGUCAUGACAUACAAUAAAGUGCAAGGGAUAUUUUGCAGAAGGAAGAGUGUUUCGCCUUAUACCCGGCAUGCUGUUGUUAAGUCUGUGUGAUGGUGGCAGCAGUUCUAAAACUCAAAGCCAACAUUUGUAUUUGCAUUAUAUUAUUGGUUUUGUUUACCUCCAGUUUCUAUCAAUUCUUCAUAAAGACAGAUUUGCCAAGGCUGAAGUAGUGUCUCUGACUAAAGUUGAAGUCCAUAAAUAUCAUUUGUUGAUACCAUUGUUUGUUUUAAGCAAUUUAGUUGUUGAACUUAAAGAAACGUCUUUAGAAAUAUGUUUGUGAAACAUUUUCACACUGAAUAAUGUCUGACAUGUUUUGACAUCACUAUCUAAUCACUAAUCACUGCUUACAGUAUUUAUUACAUAAUGGUAGCAGGGAUGAUUCUAUCAUGGAGCCUUGUGCUUUUAGCCCCUAAAUUUGAAAAAAGGCCCACAUUUUUCAAUACAAUAAGCAUUUCAACAUUGUGCUGUAUGCAUGGUAUGGGCAUGUGUGGGUGUACCCUUGGAAUAUUUGAAAUGUUCACAUAAAAGGCCCAUGUCAGAAAAUUGUAAGAGUUAACCCUGUGGUAGGGUAUACAUUUAUUUUGUUAGGUAUACAAAGUUUUGUUCAUAUGUAAAACAAGUUUAGAUUUGAACAUGCAGAUGUAUAACCUCAUUUGUGUAUAUGGUUGUUGCUCUAGCACAACGCCAAUUGCACAUAUCCCAAUGCAAGUGUAUAUGUUUGAAAAUGCAAUGUAUGAAAUGCAGUUUUUGAGUUUUCUUUUAAUAUUUCCCAUAUUUGUCUAGUUCUUUGAAACUAUUGGAUCGAUGUUUUUAGUUUGUUAAAAAUGAUGUUGCGUUUGAAAUGUCUGGAUGGGAUGAAGUGCCAUGAGAUUUCUCGUGUGAGAUAUUGCUGCUGCAUGUGCUUGUGUGGUACACCGGUCAUGAAGGUGGUGCCAUGAUUAGUGCAUUCUACUUACGACAUUCCUCAUACUGCCUGAAAUGUCCUCUGUAUUCAUACAGCAUUUACUUUAGGAAACAUUGUUAUGUUGGCCAGCCAUUGUUUCAUACUGAAGAUAGUCAAGGGGUGUACAGGAAUUAUUUCACAGUCUGUGGGCAUACAACAGACACAUGUUGUGGGAAUUUACUAAUUAUUAGAUUUAGUUCUAUUGCCAGUGCUAAGCAUGAUCGUGUUUCAAAUUAAGUCUUAACAUGUUUAAGGCCAAGUGAACAUGAUCAUGAAAAUGAAAAUAAUUCAGUGAAGGGUUUGAAAAAAGUUCAAAUAAAUAGAAUGUCUAACUGGCAAUAAUAUGUGGCACCGCUUGCUGUGAGUGGCUGUCGCAGACUGGUCCACGAUCAUCACUCUCUUUUAUCCAUGCUACUUCACAAGUUACAUUCAGAAAUUGUGUAACAAAACUUCUUGAAAUGAAACAUAAAACAUUUAAAUUAAUCUGGCUUGAUCAAGUUCCUGAAGGACAAAGAUAAAUGUCAAAUUGAUAGUAUGAGAAUGCUGGUUAUUUUGGUUAUAAUACCUGUAGAUUAACAGACAGUGGAGACAUGUAGGACAGCAAUGUCCAAGUGUUUUGGUCACUUGAAGCGAUCUUAGCGCUGCAAUAGUGUAACUCCCAUUGUUGAAUACAGACUUACGAAAGUUGCUUUGUGUAGGUAGUAGGCACAGAUAGGUACUUGUGCAGGAUAGGUAUCGUGUUUCUUCAUGUUUGCAUACCCCUACUGCUACCUAGCACUUGCUUCUGAUGUCCAAACAGUCUUCACUUCUAUUUCAUUUGGGUUGAUACAACAUACACAUAAGCAUGUUAAGUUAACUUUGUGUUUUGAUUUUUUAGUAAGUGAAGUUGAGAGUUUAAGCAACAUAUAGAAAAACUCAAAACAACUUAAUGUUAUUUCGCUGAAAUACGUGUACCCGGUAAAUAAGGAAUGUUGAUUAUGAGAAGCAGUUAUUGGUGUUUCUGUACUCUACAUUAUAAUUACUGAUAUGUUUUGGGUGACAAUGUCAAAUGCUGCAAUGGCAAGCAAUUACAACCCUUAGAAAGUAUAUAGACAUGUACACACAUGGUUUAGUCUUUGGCAGUUCCUCCAGCCUGUUGCUGUAGUGCACGAAUUGGCCACAGACAUGGUGAAUAACACAACUCAUUUAUUUUAUGUGUUUUGAACACUUAUGAAGUUGUUCUUUUCGUUAAAGCUGGUUAGUGUUCAUGUUUUGUCAACAGAUUUGGUGACAAGAAAAAUAUUGUCACAAAGGUUAUUUACAACUUUUAUGCUUUUGUGUGUUGCACUCAACAUUCAUGGACUUCGUGUCAUGAUUUUUGUGAUCAACAUUGAUCAGUGACAUCAGUUACACUCUUAAUCACGACUUACUGCAAGAGAUUUGUAUGCAGUAAAACUUUAGAACAUUUGUGUGUUUGGGCAGACUUUUCUCUGUACAGCUGUACAAUAGGCAUGUGUUUGCUGUGAUAGGCGAUUGUGGUACAAUGGUUGUUAAUGGCAGUAUAAACAUGCAAUUAUGGUAUAUGAGAAUUAAUUGUAAAAUCUGUGGUUGUGAGAAUUUUGAUCGGUGAACAUUUCAGAUUCUGAAGGUUGUAAUUUAGCAUAUUGGAGUCAAAUUUAAUCAAUAGUUUUGUUGUAUUAUAGUGAGUGAGUGAGGUUAAACGCAGCUUUUGGCAAUAUUCCAGCAAUAUCACGACGGUGGACACCAGAAAUGGACUUCACACAUUGUACCCAUGUCGGGAAUUGAACCCGGGUCUUCGGCGUGACGAGCGAACACUUCAACCACUAAACUACCCGACCGCCCUUGUAUUAUGGAAUGGUACUGAUCUAAGUUGGACGUGGAUGGGUCUUGAAGGUGAAUCUCAUAGAGUUUGUGUGAGCGUGCAUGCGUGUGUGCGUGCGUUGGUGCAUGCGUGUGUGCGUGCGUUGGUGCAUGCGAUGAAGAUGAAGAUGAAUCGCCCAGAGUCUUUUUGUAUGAGAAGAAAUUAUAGCUGAAUCUCUUAGAGUUUGUGUGUAUAGGUAUUGAAGGUGAAUCUCGUAGAGUCUGUAUGUGUGGAUACUGAAGGUAACUAGAGUCUGUCUGUGUGGGUGG